UGGGUAACCUGCCUCAAAGAGGGGAAUAGCCUCCCGAAAGGGAGAUUAAUACCGCAUAAUAUGUUUUGGUCACACGGCCUUAACAUCAAAGGAUUUCUUCGGAAAUUCACUUUGAGAUGGACCCGCGGCGCAUUAGCUAGUUGGUGAGGUAACGGCUCACCAAGGCGACGAUGCGUAGCCGACCUGAGAGGGUGAUCGGCCACAUUGGAACUGAGACACGGUCCAGACUCCUACGGGAGCAG
rnacentral:rRNA from 1 species